rnacentral:rRNA from 1 species
CACGUAGGCGGGCUCUUAAGUCGGUGGUGAAAUCCUGGAGCUCAACUCCAGAACUGCCUCCGAUACUGAGAGUCUUCGAGUCCGGGAGAGGUGAGUGGAACUGCGAGUGUAGAGGUGAAAUUCGUAGAUAUUCGCAAGAACACCAGUGGCGAAGGCGGCUCACUGGCCCGGUACUGACGCUGAGGUGCGAAAGCGUGGGGAGCAAACA